rnacentral:tRNA from 1 species
GGGAUACUAGCUCAGUUGGUAGAGCACCUGACUUUUAAUCAGGUUGUCGGGGGUUCGAAUCCCCCGUGUCUCAC